GAUGAACGCUGGCGGCGUGCUUAACACAUGCAAGUCGAACGAUGAAGCCCAGCUUGCUGGGUGGAUUAGUGGCGAACGGGUGAGUAACACGUGAGUAACCUGCCCUUAACUCUGGGAUAAGCCUGGGCAACUGGGUCUAAUACCGGAUAGGAGCGUCCACCGCAUGGUGGGUGUUGGAAAGAUGUAUCGGUUUUGGAUGGACUCGCGGCCUAUCAGCUUGUUGGUGAGGUAUUGGCUCACCAAGGCGACGACGGGUAGCCGGCCUGAGAGGGUGACGGGCCACACUGGGACUGAGACACGGCCCAGACGCGUAGGGGAGGCAGCAGUGGGGAAUAGUGCGCAAUGGGGGCAAGCCUGAUGCAGCGACGCCGCGUGGGGGGUGACGGCCUUCGGGUUGUAAACCUCGUUCAGUAGGGAAGAAGCGAAAGUGACGGUACCUGCAGAAGAAGCGCCGGCUAACUACGUG
rnacentral:rRNA from 1 species